AAUCUCAUGCCAACCCGCUUGCCGGUUGUCAGGAGGCCUCUGGGGAGGACGCUGCAGGAGCCUCAAACGCCACCUACUCCCGGCCUCUCUCCCGGUUGAUGUUUCUAUUUUGGGCACCACAUUAUUUCCUGCUGUGAUUUUUUUUUUCAGGCUUCUAAUUCAGGCUCUGAGAUUCUGCCAUCUCUGCCCUGCUGAACCCCAAGUGAUCUAGACCAUGAGAGGUGUUUACAGAUCACUCACCACCCUCUCAUCUCCUUACAACAUCCAAUCUCAAAGGAAAAAAAGAAAAGAAAAAGGAGGAAGAGGAGGAGGAAGAGGGGGAGGAAGAGGAAGAAGAGGAGGAGGAGCAGCAGCAGCAGCAGCAGCAGGUUUUUGACCCAAUCCUCCAUCCCUUCUCCCCACAGCUCUCCCCAGUCUGUUUUUGAGAGUUUUCUUGGAUUAAAAAGAAAACUUAUCUGUUGUA
rnacentral:lncRNA from 1 species